AAAAUCAUGCAUCAAAAUGGGGGUGAUGGAAGAACAUGUUUUUGUUCUCACCAAACUUCAAACCCCAUAAAUCAAUAACGAAUAUAUUAGAAACUUGGUUUUGGUCACAGACAUUAAAAAAAAAGUGUAAUAUACUUUUUGGUUUAUUAGGAAAAGAUGAAAAAAGAGAAAAAAAGAAAAAUAGUAAAGAAGAAAAAGUAGUAAAGAACCAAACAAAAGAAAGACAAAGCUAAACUCAGAGAAUAAGGAGGUUUGGUAGAGAAAAAGUUCAACUCCAAAAACCUGUCCUACAAAAGCAUAACUCACUCUUACUUUUUCUACAAAGUUUUUGGUUUAAUGUUUUCAGAAUAAUAAUAAUUAUAUAGUUUAAAUUAUCCAACCUUUAUUAUUGCCAUAUAAAUGGCAAACUAUAUUCUGCAACACAUGUGAUUUUUAUUUUCUUGUCUCACCCAAAAAUAAAAUAGUUGGAACCCACUUCAAAAUUCUCAUAAUAAU
rnacentral:lncRNA from 1 species